GGUCUCAUGGUGUAGUUGAUUGUCACGUCAGCUAGUCUAACACAGUGAAGGCCCCCAGAUCGAACCUGGGCGUGAUCA